GACAGAGGGUGCAAACGUUGUUCGGAUUUACUGGGCGUAAAGCGCACGUAGGCGGAUUGUUAAGUAGGGGUGAAAUCCUGGAGCUCAACUCCAGAACUGCCUUUAAUACUGCCAGUCUCGAGUCCGGAAGAGGUAAGUGGAACUCCUAGUGUAGAGGUGGAAUUCGUAGAUAUUAGGAAGAACACCAGUGGCGAAGGCGGCUUACUGGUCCGGUACUGACGCUAGGUGCGAAAGCGUGGGGAGCAAACAGG
rnacentral:rRNA from 1 species